ACGUAGGGGGCAAGCGUUAUCCGGAUUUACUGGGUGUAAAGGGAGCGUAGACGGCACGGCAAGCCAGAUGUGAAAGCCCGGGGCUCAACCCCGGGACUGCAUUUGGAACUGCUGAACUAGAGUGUCGGAGAGGCAAGUGGAAUUCCUAGUGUAGCGGUGAAAUGCGUAGAUAUUAGGAGGAACACCAGUGGCGAAGGCGGCUUGCUGGACGAUGACUGACGUUGAGGCUCGAAAGCGUGGGGAGCAAACAG
rnacentral:rRNA from 1 species